UUAGAUGCAAAUUUUGGGAGUUCCUUUAUGUUAUUUCUUAUGAUGGCAUUUCUGGAUAAUUUAGAUGAAGAUUAGUGGGUUAUUUUAUAUUUUUUUCAUAAUGAUAGAGGAGAUAAUUUAGAUAUAGAUUUGGAGGGUUAGUUUAGACAACUUUUAUAAUGCGGGUAGGUAAUCUUUUCAGAAAACAUAAUAGAUCCAAUGGCCGAUUAUUUUU
rnacentral:lncRNA from 1 species